rnacentral:tRNA from 2 species
GACCUCAUAGGUAAAGGGAUAUACCACAAUCCUCCUAAGAUUGGAUUCCAGGUUCGAGUCCUGGUGGGGUCACCA